CAGGCUGUUUCCCACACUACAGGCCAGCACUGUGGGCUCUCAGUUUAUUGGGAAAUGGAAAUAAGAGGGAAGGACAAAAGUCCACUGGGAAGCAGACUGGACAGAAAGGAACUCUGAGCAGCUAAACUCUGACUAAUCCCAGGGUAUACCUGCGUUUUCUCUUCACCAGAUUUUUCCUACCAGGAAGAGCAUGUGCUGACCAACAGACAUGAAUUUCAGCCUGGUAGUUACAACAUUCACAGG
rnacentral:lncRNA from 10 species